rnacentral:rRNA from 1 species
AACGAACGCUGGCGGCAUGCCUAACACAUGCAAGUCGAACGAGACCUUCGGGUCUAGUGGCGCACGGGUGCGUAACGCGUGGGAACCUGCCCUUAGGUUCGGAGUAACUCCCCGAAAGGGGUGCUAAUACCGGAUAAUGUCUUCGGACCAAAGAUUUAUCGCCUUUGGAUGGGCCCGCGUUGGAUUAGCUAGUUGGUAGGGUAAAAGCCUACCAAGGCGACGAUCCAUAGCUGGUCUGAGAGGAUGAUCAGCCACACUGGGACUGAGACACGGCCCAGACUCCUACGGGAGGCAGCAGUGGGGAAUAUUGGACAAUGGGCGAAAGCCUGAUCCAGCAAUGCCGUGUGAGUGAUGAAGGCCUUAGGGUUGUAAAGCUCUUUUACCCGGGAUGAUAAUGACAGUACCGGGAGAAUAAGCUCCGGCUAACUCCGUG